CUUGGUCAUUUAGAGGAAGUAAAAGUCGUAACAAGGUUUUCCUUCCGGUUAAAGCUUUUAACCUACCGAAGCCUAACGUGGGCGACUAUAAAAUAACCACGGAGUUCGACCCCCUAAUGGGCAGGACAACACCGCUGAAAUGCUGUGAUCAACUAUCGUUGUACCAGCAGCCUUUUUACAGGGCCCACAGAUCAAGCCGCGGUGAUCCCACCUAGAAUAGUUAGGUAGGACUAUAAUAUGACCGGUCUCGCCUGAGAUGGUUGAGAGUGACACGUUCCGUAGGUGAACCUGCGGAAGGAUCAUUACCGAGUUAGGGUCUUUCAGGCUCGACCUCCAACCCUUUGUUAACUAUACCAUGUUGCUUUGGUGGGCCCGCCUUUAGGGGCCACCGGGGACUUUCAUGCCCCUGGUCAGUGCCUGCCAGUAGCCUUCUCAAAUUCUUUUAUAAUUGUGUUGUCUGAGUAUAGAUAUAAAUCAUUAAAACUUUCAACAACGGAUCUCUUGGUUCUGGCAUCGAUGAAGAACGCAGCGAAAUGCGAUAAGUAAUGCGAAUUGCAGAAUUCAGUGAGUCAUCGAAUCUUUGAACGCAUAUUGCGCCCUUUGGUAUUCCGAAGGGCAUGCCUGUUCGAGCGUCAUUAUCAACCAUCAAGCCUGGCUUGUCGUUGGACCUCUUUACCGCUGAAAUAUGUGGUAGGUCCGAAAGAUAAUGACGGUGUCGUGUUUGACCCUAGAUGCAACGAGCUUUUAAUAGCACGCAUUGAAGUGGUCGGCCGACCCGGUCUUAACCAUCAUUUUCUAAGGUUGACCUCGGAUCAGGUAGGAAUACCCGCUGAACUUAAGCAUAUCAAUAAGCGGAGGAAAAGAAACCAACAGGGAUUACCCUAGUAACGGCGAGUGAAGCGGUAACAGCUCAAAUUUGAAAUCUGACCUUCACGGGUUCGAGUUGUAAUUUGUAGAGGAUGUUUCGGGCAAGACUUUGGUUUAAGUUUCUUGGAACAGAACGUCAUAGAGGGUGAGAGUCCCGUCUAGAACCGAUAGUCGCGUCCAUGUGAAACUCCUUCGACGAGUCGAGUUGUUUGGGAAUGCAGCUCAAAAUGGGUGGUAAAUUUCAUCUAAAGCUAAAUAUUGGCCAGAGACCGAUAGCGCACAAGUAGAGUGAUCGAAAGAUGAAAAGCACUUUGAAAAGAGAGUUAAACAGUAUGUGAAAUUGUUGAAAGGGAAGCGCUUGCAACCAGACUUGCGUAUAACGGUUCCCCCAAUCUUUUGACUGGGUUAUUCUGUUAUAUCCAGGCCAGCAUCGGUUCGGGUGGUCGUUUAAAGACUUUGGGAAUGUAUCUACCUUCGGGUCGACUUAUAGCUCAGGGUGUAAUACGUCCAACCUGGACCGAGGAACGCGCUUUUGCUCGGAUGCUGGCGUAAUGGUUGUAAGCGGCCCGUCUUGAAACACGGACC
rnacentral:rRNA from 1 species